rnacentral:lncRNA from 1 species
UAAGCUUUAGUCAAAAAAAUUAAAAAAUGUCACAUGUCAAUUAUUCAAUGCACUAACUAAUUUAAAAAAAUAUUUUAAUUAGGGUCACUAAAUUAAAAAAAAUAUUAAAAAGAUCAAAAUAGGACCAACCUUAAAGUGACUAAAGAUGAAUUUAUCCUUUUUAACUUUUAUCAAGAAUUCCAUACUUCAAGUAAGGCAAGAGUGUCGUUUUAUAUAUAUAUAUAUAAUUAAUUGUAUCAAAACCUCAAAUAUAAAAUUAAAUAUAUCAUUAUAUUUGUUGUAAUAAAUGCUUCUAAUAGCAGUAGAACUAUAGUAAAGAAAAAAAAUAUAUAUAUAUAGAUUUUAUAUGGAAACUUUUUCGGAAAAAAAUCAAGGGCAAAAGAAGAUGAAAUUAAUUAAUGUUGAAAAAUAAAUGAUACAAAAGUGUUAAAAAAUUAUUUUCUAAUCGAAGUCAAAUAGAAUAAAAAUAGUUAAGUACGGAUUCAAUUUAUGUUGUAUAGUUCGUACCACAGGGGCUUCGCCCCCACACCUUCGGUCACAACCCUUAUCCAAUUUUGUGUUUAAUAGCCUUUAGCCUUUCCCCUACAUAUCCUAUUAUUUUGCCAUUGUAUUUAUUUUUUUAACAAGUGAUGAAUUCAGAUCACACAAUCUCUAACAAUAUUUGUAUUAAAAAAUAACGUAUUAUUAUUAUAUUAUUAAAUUAACCUAGUAUUGGCUAAAAAUGUAUAUUGAUAUCAUAUUUUUAUGUUUUCAAAAUUAUAUUAAUUGGGUAAAGCACUCUUCUGCCUCCUUAGCGUACACGUCAAUAUAUAUGACUGUUAGUCUCUGCCAACUUCUUACUUACAACCAAAAUUUCCCCAUUUUGUUAACGUCGACACAAAUGUUACACAUUUUCUGAGUUAACAUCAAUUUAUCACCUUAUUUCAAUUAACAUUAUAAUUAAAUUAUAAAUUAUUAAGGUUAUAUCCAUUAGUUGCUUUUAUUGUUGCAUUGAAUCGGAAAAUGAUUUUGAAUCGGUUAGACUGAAAAUCGGUACGAAUCGAUUAAAAAAUCAAUUGAAUUAAGUUUUUUUCUAAAAAAAAUUUAAUAAAUUUUCAAUCAAAUUAGUUAGACCAGUCAUACCAAUGAAUCGAAAAUUUGAUCGGUUUGACCAUAUAUCUAAUUUAAAAAAAUAUUACAUUUUAUAAGGCAUAAUUUAAAAUAAAAAAACAACAAAAAAAAUUAAAGAAAAAAAUAAAUAAAACAUUGAAGCUUUUGUAGAAGUUUCCAUUUUUAUUUUAUGCAACAAUUGUUUUCAUUUUUCUUUUAUUUUUCUCAACUCUUAACUUUUUUUAUGUUCUUUUUUUUUAAAACUUUUUUUACCAAAUAAGAUCAAAUAUGUCACUAAACAAUUAAAUUAACGAUUUUAAUAAUAAGAGAACUUUAUUGAUAUAAAUUCAAUACUUAAAAAAUGUAAUUAAAAUAUUUUAAAAUUUUAAAUUUAAUUUUAAAUUGGAGGUCAUAAUUGAGACUUCUGAUGCAAUUAAUCAUUUUCUUUUAUUUUCAAUAUUAAAAAUUUUGACAUCGUAAACAUAAAUAAAUUAUGAAAAUGAUAUGAUACAUUAUCAAUAAAAUUAAGUAAUUACCAAUAAAUGAUUAGAAUUUCAGAGAUGAUAUUAUUGAGAGAGACAACUCUGAAUUUUGAACAUAAAUUAUAAAAUAGACAUAAAAAAUAUCAAAAAUAAAAAAAAUUAAGAAACAAAGAUAACGAUUCUUGACGUUAUUCAAAAAAUAAUAAAAAAUAAUGACUUGACAUUAGUUUUUUCACUAAUAAUAUGUAAAAUACUAACUUAUAAAUUAUACAGUUAAAUAUAAAAUAAAAUACAGUAUUAAAUUAUAUUUUAAUUUGUCUGAGGAAAAAAAAAAGGAAUUUUAUUAUAUCAAAAAGGACAAUGAUACGUAUCGGACAAAAAUGAACAUGUUUGCAUGAAUCACGUAAAUGAAACAAAAUAUUUAAUUAAAAAUAAAAUAAUAAAUGCUCAUACUUUAAAAUUAUAACUAUUAUAUUUAUUCUAAAAAAUUAUUUAUUAGUAUAUAUUUAUUAUGAUUAUAAUUAUGAUUUAUAAAUUAUUAUUAAUGGUGUAAUUAUAUAUUAUUAUAAUUAUGGUUCAUAAAUUUAUUUCAAUAUUAUAUAUAAGUUACAAUAAAAACAAAAAAUUAAUUUUAUGAAAAUUUAUAUUAAAAAUAUUAAAAAAAUUCGAACUGAUUUUUCUAAUUGAUUUAAGACCUUGAAUGAUAUUAACUUAACUAGAAGCUUUAUUAUAACUAGAAAUUCUAUCACACAUGUAUACAUGUGAAAACCAUGCAUUUAGAAGAUAGAUAUGUGUCUGAAAAUAACAUAAAAUAAAUAAUGAAACGUAUGUGUUAAAACUAAUUAAUAAUAACAAAUUAAAUAUGUACAAUAUUCAAUAGAAUAAUUAAAUUAAAUUGUGAGCAAAACGGAAUUUAAACACAUAAAUAUAUCGGAUUAAGAAUACAAAAUGAGUACAGUUGUUUAUCAUGGUGUUGACAUGUGACACUAACUCAAUUAACAACGUUAUUAAUACUAGAGUGCAUAUGCGUGUAAAAAACUACAAAUUUAGAACGCAAAUGUAUGUUUAAAAAUAACAUAUAAUAAAUAAUGAAACAUAUGAUUUGAAACUAAUUAAUAAUAACAUAAGAAAUACAUACAAUAUUAAAAUUAAAAAAAUAAUUUAGCACUAUUUUCAAAAUCAAAUCGGACCAGUUGAUCGAAUCGAUUGAACGAGGGAUAUUGAUUAAGAAUAACGGAUUGAGUUGAUAGACUUACAGAUUGAUUGAACUGAUGAUCGGACCAAUUAAACAAAUCUUUUUUUAUUUUAAUUAUUUUUAAUAAUUUAUUUAAUCAAAUUAUAUAAAUAGAUCUGAUAAAAAUUCGUAAUCGAACUAAUUAAAUUAUUUAUCGAAUUUUGAAAAUGUGAAUAGUUAAAAUUUUCUUAAUUAAAUUAAUAUUUAUUUCACUCCCAACAUCAUAACAUAUAAAUAAAAAAAUGGGCCCCACUGAGAGGUCUUUAACACUGAAUUGGGAACCACAACUGUCGAUAACCACGAAGCCCAACCGCACACCUCUUUGCCGCGUACAUUAGCAACCGAAACCUCUCCCGCUCUAAUUUACGCUCACUCGGUUACGCCCACCACCAUCGCCUUUCUUCUCGCUACUUGUUAAAGUUGUAAUUUGCUUUGCUUCCUCUGCUCUCCACGCAAUAAUUUACCAAAUAAAUAAAUAAAUAAAUUCUUUCCCAUUUAUUCACUCAACCCAGAAAAGCAAUUAGCUAAAUAAAUAAUCUAAAUUUCUUAAAAAAAAUUGAAAAUUAUGUUUCUAUUUAUGAUUACUUGUUUAAGAUUUUAAUGCAGAGAUAUUAAGGGGAAAAAUAAAAUAAAAAUGGCUUCUCUACAGAUGUUGAACCCUGUGUUUUCUUCCAUUUCCAUUUCCCACUCAAAUUUUCCGGGAAAAUCUGAUUCCAGGAACAAACUUCUCAACUUCAAUAGUUGUAGAAGCUUCAAGUCCUUGCACAGCCAAAGAUCUAUUAUUCGUUGUGCAACUCAAGAUGGUGACAACAAAAACAAUGGUAUGUUCUUCCAUUUCUAAAGAUUCUUUUUUUUUUUUACUCAUUUUAGUUGUAUAAAAAAUUCUGAAACUAACCCAAGUCAAGUCCUUCAAAAAUAAGUUGAAAUUUUGGUUCAUUGGGUGCUUAUAAAAUUGUAUUUUUAUGGGUUUUGUUUUGAAUUAGGUGAAGAGUCACCUGAGUCACUGUUUAUGAAGGAGUUGAAGAGGAGGGGGAUGACACCAACUUCACUGGUAGAGGAUGCUAAAAAUACCAAUUAUGGAUUAGAUGAGGAGAUGAAAGUAGGGGAAGAAAGGGGAAGUGUCUCCAAAAGGAAUGUUGUGUCAACUGAAUUUGAUCAAAGCUUAUCUAAUCAAAGGGAACGAUCCAUGGAAUUGAAUAGUGAAGGCCUUGAGGUUUAUUGCUUUUUUUCUAUUUACUCAAUGAUUUUGCAUGCUGGUGUGCCUUGGUUUGACCUCAUUUAACAAUCUUGCUUAUGUUCAUUUCAAACCUUAAGCACAAUUAUGUACCGUAUGAAUUGUGAUGGUAGCUUCAUAAUCUGAAUGAUCUAGAUCUUGGACUUUGUUUCAAUGAACUUUUAUAUAGAUGAUAUCAUACAUUUUUGGUAUUGUUAUUAAACAUUUCAAGGAACUAGAUUUCUCUAUCUUCGGUUCGGAGAAUGUUAUGGAACCAACAAGAACAUCAUCUCUUUGUUUUUACUUUCAUUUCAUAGUAAUUUGUUCACAUAAAACUGUCUGUCUUGUGAAUAUUUGAUGUGUUUAUUCAUUAUCUCUUUACUUCAAGUAAUGUGCAUGAUUUCAUUUAAUUUGUGAAUGCAAGGAUAUGUGAGAUGGCAAUUGAACUUAUAUAUAUAAUCGUUGUUCAGGGGCUGGUUCCGCGGGCUAAACUGUUGCUAACACUAGGAGGGACUUUCUUCCUCAGCUUCUGGCCUUUCAUCCUUUCAACUAUAGCAUUCUUUUCUGCUCUCUACCUUGUAAGCUCCCUUUCUUCCACUUUUCAGUUUUAGCUUUAGGAAGAACAAAGAAGCUCCCUGUCAUCAUGCGCUGUAGUAUUUGUAAUGUGCUGAUAAUUUUCCCAUGGGCAGUAUUUCGGACCAUCUUUCAUUCACGAUGGAAGUAAGACACCCGUUUCGCCACCGCAAUACAUAGAUCCUUAUACACUUCUGGAAGAUGAAAGGAUUUCCCAAACUGCCCCUCAUGUAAAUUGAAGGACAAGUGUUACCACCAUACAACAAAAUUCUUGGGGUUUAAAUAACAGGUUUAUAUUGUCAUAUUCCCUUCACCUCCUGUAAUCUUUGUAAAUACAAAUAUCAGCAGGAACUUCAUGCGAUGGCUCAGUAUCUUCCUUACUGUUUUUACUGGGACAAUUCCCGCUCAAAUUGGCCUCAAUUACAUAUAGAUGACUUUAUAUUUGUUACCAUUGUUUUUAUAGUCACACGCAUGGGUUCAACUAGUUUAAAUUCUUUUCAGCAAUGGAACACUAGAAACUUAGCCGAACUACUCGUCAAAUCUAUUGCAGUCCAUAUAGUCUUGAACAAAGCUUAGAAGAGUCGAAGUUCACACAAUAGAAUAAGCAAAAACACACGAUAAAAGGAAACAAAUCAUUGGGUAGCAAAAUGCAAGCCCUCCACUCAAACAUUACUUAUUUAGUACUCAUCUUCACCUUCCUCAUCACCCUCGCCUGACUCAGCACCGACUUCUUCAUAAUCCUUCUCAAGUGCAGCAAGGUCCUCACGAGCUUCCGAGAAUUCUCCUUCUUCCAUACCCUCACCCACGUACCAGUGAACAAAGGCACGCUUGGCAUACAUGAGAUCAAACUUGUGGUCAAUGCGGGAGAACACCUCAGCAACGCUGGUUGAGUUGGAAAUCAUGCAAACGGCUCUCUGGACCUUAGCAAGAUCACCACCAGGAACGACAGUCGGUGGCUGGUAGUUGAUACCACACUUGAAUCCAGUUGGGCACCAGUCAACGAAUUGAAUAGUUCUCUUGGUCUUGAUGGUGGCAACAGCAGCAUUGACAUCCUUGGGCACAACAUCACCACGGUACAUCAAACAGCAAGCCAUAUACUUGCCAUGGCGAGGAUCACACUUGGCCAUCAUAGAUGAG